ensembl:lncRNA
AAUUUCAUCUCUUUUCUCUAGACACAGAAGAUACAUUUUGUGUUUUAAAUUAAAUUGUUUUUUUUUAUUAUUAAUUAUACUGUUUAUAUCAAGGGUUACAUGAAAACCAAGUGACAAUCUUGGAAAAAGUUUGUCUAUAUACACAGACUCCUCCUGUGUUCCAGGCAGAAGCAGCUUGUGCUCCAGCAGUCUAAUAAUACUUCUCCUCACUGUACACAUACUGAUCAUAUAAAUAUUGUUUCUGGCAUGAGAUUGAAUGCACAGUCUGUGAUGUGAAUUGCUCUCAUUUUUGCUGCAGGGCCCACAAGGAUUUCAAGGCAACCCUGGAGAAGCCGGAGAGCCCGGAUCAUCCGUACGUAUCCAAAAACCUUCCUAAAAGACCUCAUUACUGAUGAUUACAGUCAGCCUCCCGGUGCGCAAAUGCCACUUCAUUUAGCCAGAAUCAUUCUAAUUGAAAUAAGCCUCUAGAUCUUGUAUGUAGGUCAGCGAGGUGCAUCCGGCUCACUGGACUCAAUUAUGUAUUUUUGUAAUACACACACCACAAAAUCAGCACUGAAUACACUUCAGCCUUGUUCUUACCAAGUGCAGUGUUUUCACUCAUAUCUCAGAUCAUUCACGUGUCCCAUACUCUCUAAUCUCAGAUUUCUGUUUUCUCUCGACAGGGCCCAAUGGGUCCUCGUGGUCCCCCGGGUCCCUCAGGAAAACCAGGAGAGGAUGGGGAAGCAGGCAAAGCUGGGAAAGCUGGGGAACGUGGACCUCCUGGGCCUCAGGUGAACCCUUUUAAAUGAAAACAGCGUUAAAGUGUUUGAUUCAUGUGAGAAGAGCAGCGAUGCAGUGACUGCUGCCCGCAGCGCUCAAGCUUUUACCCAGAUGUGAGACGCUGCUGUGGAUGCAGGCCAAAGAAAGAAGAGACGUCUGAAUACUUCCACUCACCUCAUACCUCUCUCUCUCUCUCUCUCAACACAGGGAGCUCGUGGAUUCCCAGGAACACCGGGUCUACCUGGAAUCAAGGGACACAGAGUUAGUGCAGUUUUUCAUCAUGUCAUCUUUUUGUGGUCAAUCUCUGACACUACAGAUGAAUAGGAUAAACAUUCUUAACUAUCGAUAGACUUCCCCUGGUGAUUAAUCACAGUACAUUAAGACUAGAAGUAUUACAAAACUACAUUUUCACCAGAUUUUUUGGAAAGAAAAAAUAGUCUACAUCAAAUGUAAUAUGUAACAAACCCUUUGGAAAAACCUUUAGAAUAUAGACAGGAAUAAAACUAUAAUUUUGGUGUAAGUGCUGCUGAAGUGGAGAAAAAAAACUCUUCAAAGAUAUGGAUUGGAAUGCAAUAUAUAAAGUGUGAUUAAAAAAUAAAUACUGAUGCAUAUUUUGGAUGUUUCCUUUACACUAGUAUGAAAGAAGACAUGUUAUACAUGCAAAAUAGACCAAUGGAAGAUGAGACUCUGAUUGGUUUAUUGCAUGUUACACCCAAAAAACACCCAUUACUCAUUAAGAGAAUAGGGUCAACCCGUUUAGACCAUGCGCCUGGUAGCGUCGACCAUUCUCCUGUCGUUAAACUAGCAAAAGUGGAUUCGGACACGCCCUGAGUGCACCUGCGCCGUGCGCUUUAGACCAUGUGCUUAGAUCGUUAAAAUAGGGCCCUUAAUAUUUUGGCUUUCCUCUCUAUACGUUUAUCUUUCUUCAGUCUGGUUGAGUUGACAGGAAUGACCCAGUGGUUUUGCCUGUAGGGUCUCACCUCCCUGAUGUAGUGAUUUAAUCACUUAGCAUCACUGUGAACGCAGUAUCACUGAUGUGUGUUGAUCUGUGCUGUGUUUGUAGGGUUAUUCAGGUCUUGAUGGUGCUAAAGGAGAGUCUGGAGCCACUGGGGCUAAAGUAUGACUUUUACAAAUCACAUUUCCACCGUUACAUGUAAGGGUAGUUCAGGACUCUGGGUCCUACCCAUCUCUCUCUCUGUCUGUUUUUUAGGGUGAGGCCGGGUCUCCUGGAGAAAGUGGCGCUCCUGGACCAAUGGUAGGUGUUUGCGCUCAGCUGCUGUCCUGCUGUACAAAUGACCGCAGCUGCAACUAGAAACCU